AUGUGCAUUUGCAAUAGUGAUAAGGAGAAUAAAUCAAGAAUUGUGGAGGAAUGAACAAUAUGGGCUGCUUUAUGAAUUUAAGGACUCCACCCACCCCUAAAUCUCUCAUUCGCACCUAAUUAACAAGGUUAUUCCUAGUCCUUUUUCAUAUGACACAAAGACUAUGCCGGUAUAUGAGAGUGAGCACUGGGAUGGAAGACAUCAGAACCAUAACCAAGGAUACCUCCUCUGCUGUAAUAAUCCAAAGCUCAAGAAGCAACAUAAAUGAGUUGGAGUGGGAUCUUAGAGCUUAAGAAGCAAGUACUGUGGAUUACCUCCUUUCAGCAUGU
rnacentral:lncRNA from 1 species